UACGGAGGGAGCUAGCGUUAUUCGGAAUUACUGGGCGUAAAGCGCACGUAGGCGGCUUUGUAAGUAAGAGGUGAAAGCCUGGAGCUCAACUCCAGAAUAGCCUUUUAGACUGCAUCGCUUGAAUCAUGGAGAGGUGAGUGGAAUUCCGAGUGUAGAGGUGAAAUUCGUAGAUAUUCGGAAGAACACCGGUGGCGAAGGCGGAUCUCUGGGCCAUUACUGACGCUGAGGAGCGAAAGCGUGGGGAGCGAACAGG
rnacentral:rRNA from 1 species